rnacentral:rRNA from 1 species
UGGGGAAUAUUGGACAAUGGGCGAAAGCCUGAUCCAGCCAUGCCGCGUGUGUGAAGAAGGUCUUCGGAUUGUAAAGCACUUUAAGUUGGGAGGAAGGGCAGUAACCUAAUACGUUGCUGUCUUGACGUUACCGACAGAAUAAGCACCGGCUAACUCUGUGCCAGCAGCCGCGGUAAUACAGAGGGUGCAAGCGUUAAUCGGAAUUACUGGGCGUAAAGCGCGCGUAGGUGGUUUGUUAAGUUGGAUGUGAAAUCCCCGGGCUCAACCUGGGAACUGCAUUCAAAACUGACAAGCUAGAGUAUGGUAGAGGGUGGUGGAAUUUCCUGUGUAGCGGUGAAAUGCGUAGAUAUAGGAAGGAACACCAGUGGCGAAGGCGACCACCUGGACUGAUACUGACACUGAGGUGCGAAAGCGUGGGGAGCAAACAGGAUUAGAUACCCAGUAGUCCCUGAGCGGGCUGGCAAGGCGCAU